rnacentral:rRNA from 1 species
AACGGCCGCGGUAUAUUGACCGUGCAAAGGUAGCAUAAUCAUUAGUCUUUUAAUAGAAGGCUGGAAUGAAAGGUUUAACGAGGCAUUGACUGUCUCAUUUUUAUUUUUAGAAUUUAAUCUUUAAGUUAAAAAGCUUAAAUUUUGUUGGAAGACGAGAAGACCCUAUAGAGCUUUAUAACUUUGCUUAUAAUUAUUUUUGGUUUUAAGUUUUACUUUUAUAGGCUUAGUUAUUUUGUUGGGGUGACAAAAACAUAUAAUUAACUUUUGUUAUUUUAUGAACAUUAAUUUAUGAUUAUUGGAUCCAAUAAUAUUGAUCAUUAGUCUAAGUUACCUUAGGGAUAACAGCGUAAUCUUCCCUCAGAGUUCAAAUUUACGGGAAGGCUUGCGACCUCGAUGUUGGAUUAAGAUAAUAGUUAAGUGCAGAAGCUUAAUUAAUAGGUCUGUUCGAC